rnacentral:rRNA from 1 species
GGAGCAUGUGGUUAAUUCGAAGCAACGCGUAAGAACCUUACCAGGUCUUGACAUCCCGAUGCUAUUUCUAGAGAUAGAAAGUUACUUCGGUACAUCGGUGACAGGUGGUGCAUGGUUGUCGUCAGCUCGUGUCGUGAGAUGUUGGGUUAAGUCCCGCAACGAGCGCAACCCCUAUUGUUAGUUGCCAUCAUUCAGUUGGGCACUCUAGCGAGACUGCCGGUAAUAAACCGGAGGAAGGUGGGGAUGACGUCAAAUCAUCAUGCCCCUUAUGACCUGGGCUACACACGUGCUACAAUGGUUGGUACAACGAGUUGCGAGUCGGUGACGGCGAGCUAAUCUCUUAAAGCCAAUCUCAGUUCGGAUGGUAGGCUGAAACUCGCCUGCCUGAAGCCGGAAUUGAUAGUAAUCACUGGUCAGCUAUACAGUGGUGAAUACGUACUCGGGUCUU